AAUGAAAUUUUUUUAUAGGUUAAAAAACUGUUUUAAAAAUUAAAGCUGUAAAAGGUUCAAUUCCUUUUUUCAUUG
rnacentral:tRNA from 1 species